GCUGCCUCCAGAAAGAGCUGCCUCUGAAAGUGACCUUGCUCAGCAAAUGCCUAUUGGCUUACACAGAAGUAGCAAUGCCUUUCCCAGAAGAGGCGCUGCAACUGGUGCUGCUGUAAAGAUGGCAAAUGCUGAUUGAGUGCCAGCCGUAUGCCAGUCACCACUCAGGCUGCGAAGAUUCACCACGAGACAGGCCCAGGCAUGAGACGGAGCUUAUGAUCUGGAGGAGACAGACAGGCAAUGAACACACAAUAAGCAAAUGAGCAGCAAAUCAACAAACAGGCUGAUCGUUUCAGAAAAUGAAUGAGGGAGAGCUGGACAGCUGGAGGAGAUGGCAGUGACAGUCAGACUCAGAUGGAAAUGAAAAAACUAAAGAACAGUACUCUGCAAAUGAUCUAGUGUGAUGAUAAGAGAAAAUGAAGAACUUUUCAAAACUCUAUGGGAAGCAGCAGAGUCGAGUUGAAGGAGCUGGAAGACGGCCAUUAGAAUGGUCUUUAUUCUUCCACCAGUUGAAGGAGGUUGGAAGAUGAAUCUUGCUGAACUUCAGCAUAUGGGAAACGACUUCGGGGCUACCUGAGUAUUCCAUCUUGUAAUGUUGAUAAAAGAACCAAAUGAAACAGCAUGCAGUGAAGAAUUUUGUAAGUCCUAAGUAAGUACACAAAUGUGAUGUGGAAUGUGAUCAUAGCUUUAGAAAGCAUUGGCUGUUAUUAGAAACCUCUAUAAUGCCAAUAAAGAAAGUUGAUAGACUUUCUGAGAAUAAAUCUGAGAAGUUGUUUCUUCUUUUCCUUCUCUUUUCUUAUUCUUCUCUUCUUCACUCUUUCUUAUCUUAAUUUCCAAUUUAAAUCAUGGGAUAAAUUAUAAUUGUUACAUAUCAAUAAAGCAUUUUUAGGCUGAUGAGUAACAAAUGUUUAACUCUAAAUCUAGGUUGGACAAACCAAUGAUCUUCAAAUGCUGC
rnacentral:lncRNA from 1 species